GAUGCUGGACCUCACAAGGACCACAGGCAGAGCAGAAAGCGCUCCAGGUCCAGAGCCAGUGACAGAGAAAACUGACUUGCAAAGGCUCCAGGCUGGAUAUCAUCAUAUACUGUAAGUUGGAAUGAGACACUACAGUAUAGAUGAUGUACUACCUUGAGCCCAUUCACCCGUCGGAACCCACCUGGAUCUUCCAGGCCCUUCCUCCUCGGCAUCACUUGUACGGGACUUGAGGAUCGCCACAGGCGAGCAGAGGAAUCAGUUGUUUUUGAAACUAGAGCGGUCCUUUCCAUGCCCCCUGAACAGCACAGGGUGAGGGGGUUUAGCGUAAGAAGCACCAACCCUGAGCUAUGGUCACUUCCCAAAUCGUUUAGCCUAGAGGCUCAUUACACCAAAUACGCUUUGGGGGAAGGGCCAGCAUGCUGCGGGGAAACGUAGCAUGAUCGCAGCACAUGAAAAGAAAAGUGCCUUGGAUGCCCCUUGUUGUAGGGGUUUUUUGGUACAGGGUUUUAUUGCAUAAGCCACUUUGGGAGGGCUUUUUCCCUUAAAGGUGGCACAGAGAUACGCAUAUUAAUAAUAACAAAGCAUUUGCUGGAUCAGGAGAGGAGAAGUGAGGCUAAAAAAACCCCACAUUGCAACAGCUCUGCCCGGAAGACUAACCUUGCGGUGUGUCGGCGAAACCGUUACCAUUACUGAGUUUAGUAAUGGUAAGGGUUCUCUUGCCAUGCCGGCCAGCCUCCGGCUCUGCAGAAGAGAGCGGCAGACGUCCUCCAGCGAUCUCCGGACGGUAUUCUUCCUCUGUGUUCCUGUGAAAAAUAAAGUGUUUCCUGGA